GGCUGGCUGGCAUCCCCAUUCAGUGGACAUGAAUUUAAGCAAAUUCUGGAAGAUUGUGAAGGACAGGGAUGCUUGACGUGCUGCAGUCCAUGGGGUAACAAAGCAUCAGACAUGACUGAGCAACUGAACAAUAACAGCAGCCUGCUGAUGGACAUGGACGUGUGACCUAGUCCUGGACAAUGAGAGACUGGAACCUGGAGACAGGAGUCGAUGAAAAGAAGGCAAAGAAAAGAAGGAUGCGGGGGACCCAAGUCUCUAGUGGAAUAAGGGUGCUUUAAUCAUGCGAGAGUUGGACUGUGAAGAAGGC
ensembl:lncRNA